CCUACGGGAGGCAGCAGUGGGGAAUAUUGCACAAUGGGCGCAAGCCUGAUGCAGCGACGCCGCGUGAGGGAUGACGGCCUUCGGGGUUGUAAACCUCUUUCAGUAGGGAAGAAGCGAAAGUGACGGUACCUGCAGAAGAAGCGCCGGCUAACUACGUGCCAGCAGCCGCGGUAAUACGUAGGGCGCAAGCGUUAUCCGGAAUUAUUGGGCGUAAAGAGCUCGUAGGCGGUUUGUCGCGUCUGCCGUGAAAGUCCGGGGCUCAACUCCGGAUCUGCGGUGGGUACGGGCAGACUAGAGUGAUGUAGGGGAGACUGGAAUUCCUGGUGUAGCGGUGAAAUGCGCAGAUAUCAGGAGGAACACCGAUGGCGAAGGCAGGUCUCUGGGCAUUAACUGACGCUGAGGAGCGAAAGCAUGGGGAGCGAACAGGAUUAGAUACCCUGGUAGUCCAUGCCGUAAACGUUGGGCACUAGGUGUGGGGGACAUUCCACGUUUUCCGCGCCGUAGCUAACGCAUUAAGUGCCCCGCCUGGGGAGUACGGCCGCAAGGCUAAAACUCAAAGGAAUUGACGGGGGCCCGCACAAGCGGCGGAGCAUGCGGAUUAAUUCGAUGCAACGCGAAGAACCUUACCAAGGCUUGACAUGGACCGGACCGCCGCAGAAAUGUGGUUUCCCCUUUGGGGCCGGUUCACAGGUGGUGCAUGGUUGUCGUCAGCUCGUGUCGUGAGAUGUUGGGUUAAGUCCCGCAACGAGCGCAACCCUCGUUCCAUGUUGCCAGCGCGUAAUGGCGGGGACUCAUGGGAGACUGCCGGGGUCAACUCGGAGGAAGGUGGGGACGACGUCAAAUCAUCAUGCCCCUUAUGUCUUGGGCUUCACGCAUGCUACAAUGGCCGGUACAAAGGGUUGCGAUACUGUGAGGUGGAGCUAAUCCCAAAAAGCCGGUCUCAGUUCGGAUUGGGGUCUGCAACUCGACCCCAUGAAGUCGGAGUCGCUAG
rnacentral:rRNA from 1 species